rnacentral:rRNA from 1 species
GCUCAGAGUGAACGCUGGCGGUAGGCCUAACACAUGCAAGUCGAACGGCAGCACAGUAAGAGCUUGCUCUUAUGGGUGGCGAGUGGCGGACGGGUGAGGAAUACAUCGGAAUCUACCUUUUCGUGGGGGAUAACGUAGGGAAACUUACGCUAAUACCGCAUACGACCUUCGGGUGAAAGCAGGGGACCUUCGGGCCUUGCGCGGAUAGAUGAGCCGAUGUCGGAUUAGCUAGUUGGCGGGGUAAAGGCCCACCAAGGCGACGAUCCGUAGCUGGUCUGAGAGGAUGAUCAGCCACACUGGAACUGAGACACGGUCCAGACUCCUACGGGAGGCAGCAGUGGGGAAUAUUGGACAAUGGGCGCAAGCCUGAUCCAGCCAUACCGCGUGGGUGAAGAAGGCCUUCGGGUUGUAAAGCCCUUUUGUUGGGAAAGAAAAGCAGUCGAUUAAUACUCGGUUGUUCUGACGGUACCCAAAGAAUAAGCACCGGCUAACUUCGUGCCAGCAGCCGCGGUAAUACGAAGGGUGCAAGCGUUACUCGGAAUUACUGGGCGUAAAGCGUGCGUAGGUGGUUGUUUAAGUCUGUUGUGAAAGCCCUGGGCUCAACCUGGGAAUUGCAGUGGAUACUGGACGACUAGAGUGUGGUAGAGGGUAGUGGAAUUCCCGGUGUAGCAGUGAAAUGCGUAGAGAUCGGGAGGAACAU